rnacentral:rRNA from 1 species
CAGUCGCCACGGUAAAACGAACCGUGCGAACGUUAUUCGGAAUUACUGGGCUUAAAGCGCGUGUAGGCGGGUCGGCACGUCGGUCGCUGAAAUCCCCCGGCUCAACCGGGGAGGGUUAUUGGAAACUGGGAAACUUGAGUGCAGAAGAGGAGAGUGGAAUUCCACGUGUAGCGGUGAAAUGCGUAGAGAUGUGGAGGAACACCAGUGGCGAAGGCGACUCUCUGGUCUGUAACUGACGCUGAGGAGCGAAAGCGUGGGGAGCGAACAGGAUUAGAUACCCCAGUAGUCCCUGUCUCUUAUA